GACGAACGCUGGCGGCGUGCCUAAUACAUGCAAGUCGAGCGAAUGACGAGAAGCUUGCUUCUCUGAUUUAGCGGCGGACGGGUGAGUAACACGUGGGCAACCUGCCCUACAGAUCGGGAUAACUCAGGGAAACCUGGGCUAAUACCGGAUAAUCCUUCGAAUCACAUGUUUUGAAGUUGAAAGGCGCUUCGGCGUCACUGUAGGAUGGGCCCGCGGUGCAUUAGCUAGUUGGUGGGGUAACGGCCUACCAAGGCAACGAUGCAUAGCCGACCGGCGAGGGUGAUCGGCCACAUUGGGACUGAGACGCGGCCCAAACUCCUACGGGAGGCAGCAGUAGGGAAUCUUCCACAAUGGACGAAAGUCUGAUGGAGCAACGCCGCGUGAGUGAUGAAGGUUUUCGGAUCGUAAAACUCUGUUGUAAGGGAAGAACAAGUACGUUAGGAAAUGAACGUACCUUGACGGUACCUUAUUAGAAAGCCACGGCUAACUACGUGCCAGCCGCCGCCGUAA
rnacentral:rRNA from 1 species